CCUACGGGUGGCAGCAGUGAGGAAUAUUGGUCAAUGGCCGAGAGCCUGAACCAGCCAAGUCGCGUGAGGGAAGACGGCCCUACGGGUUGUAAACCUCUUUUGUCGGGGAGCAAAAAGAGUCACGUGUGACGCUUCGAGAGUACCCGAAGAAAAAGCAUCGGCUAACUCCGUGCCAGCAGCCGCGGUAAUACGGAGGAUGCGAGCGUUAUCCGGAUUUAUUGGGUUUAAAGGGUGCGCAGGCGGAGGUGCAAGUCAGCGGUAAAAUUGAGGGGCUCAACCCCGUAAUGCCGUUGAAACUGGAUCUCUUGAGUGCGCGAGAAGUAUGCGGAAUGCGUGGUGUAGCGGUGAAAUGCAUAGAUAUCACGCAGAACUCCGAUUGCGAAGGCAGCAUACCGGCGCGCAACUGACGCUCAUGCACGAAAGCGUGGGUAUCGAACAGGAUUAGAUACCCUAGUAGUC
rnacentral:rRNA from 1 species